rnacentral:rRNA from 1 species
CCUACGGGAGGCAGCAGUGGGGAAUAUUGGGCAAUGGGCGCAAGCCUGACCCAGCAACGCCGCGUGAAGGAAGAAGGCUUUAGGGUUGUAAACUUCUUUUCUCCGGGCCGAAGCAAGUGACGGUACCUGAGGGAUGAGCAACGGCUAACUACGUGCCAGCAGCCGAGGUAAUGCGUAGGUGGCAAGCGUUAUCCGGAUUUACUGGGUGUAAAGGGCGUGUAGGCGGGACUGCAAGUCUGAUGUGAAAACCACGGGCUCAACCUGGGGCCUGCCUUUGAAACUGUAGUUCUUGAGUACUGGAGAGGCAGGCGGAAUUCCUAGUGGAGCGGUGAAAUGCGUAGAUAUUAGGCGGAACACCAGUGGCGAAGGCGGUAUACUGGACAGCAACUGACGCUGAGGCGCGAAAGCGUGGGGAGCAAACAGGAUUAGAUACCCCUGUAGUC